AGUGAGCCGAGAUCGGGCCACUCCAGCCUGGUGAUAGAGCGAGACUCCGUCUCAAAAAAAAAAAAAAAAAAAAAUCUCGGUGAAGGGGGAGACAGGGUGGGGUCUCAGUAGUGAGAGAACAGAUGGGGCCGGGGUAUUGUGAGGCUGCAUCAAUGAUGCAUAUUUCCCAGUCUCACUGACUUCUUAUGGUUAGGUCAGUAUAUGUGCGGGGGAAAAGAAAGAGAGAUCAGACUGUUACUUGUGGGGAAAAGAGAGAUCAGACUGUUACUGUGUCUAUGUAGAAAAAGGAAGACACAAGAAACUCCAUUUUGAUCUGUACUUAGAAAAAUUCUUCUGCUUUGAGAUGCUGUUAAUCUGUAACCUUAGCCCCAACCCUGUGCUUGCAAAAACAUGUGCUGUGUUGACUCAAGGUUUAAUGGAUUUAGGGCUGUGCAGGAUGUGCUUUGUUAAAAAUGUGUUUGCAGGCAGUAUGCUUGGUAAAAGGCAUCGCCAUGCUCCAUUCUCGGUUACCCAGGGACACAGUGCACUGUGGAAGGCCGCAGGCACCUCUGCCCAAGAAAGCCCGGGUAUUGUCCAAGGUUUCCCCCCACUGAGACAGCCUGAGAUAUGGCCUUGUGGGAAGGGAAAGACCUUACUGUCCCCCAGCCUGACACCCGUAAAGGGUCUGUGCUGAGGAGGAUUAGUGAAAGAGGAAGGCCUCUUUGCAGUUGAGAUAAGAGGAAAGCAUCUGUCUCCUGCUCAUCCCUGGGAAUGGAAUGUCUUGGUGUAAAACCCGAUUGCACAUUCUAUUUACUGAGAUAGGAGAAAACCGCCUUAUGGCUGGAGGUGAGACAUGCUGGCGGCAAUACUGCACUGAGAUGUUUGUGUAAAGUGAAACAUAAAUCUGGCCUACAUGCACAUCCAGGCACAGCACCGUUCCUUAAACUUAUUUGUGACAUAGCGUCCUUUGCUCACAUUUUCCUGCUGACCCUCUCCCUACCAUUACCCUAUAGUCCUGCCACAUCCCCCUUGCCCAGAUAGUAGAGAAAGUGAUCAAUAAAUACUGAGGGAACUCAGAGACCAGUGCCGGUGCAGAUCCUCACUUGCUGAGCACCCGUCUCCUGGGCCCACUUUUCUUCCUCUAUACUUUGUGUCUUAUUUCCUUUUCUCAGUCUCUUGUCUCCACCUUGCGAGAAAUACCAACAGGUGUGGAGGGGCAGGCCCCCUUCAAUACGAAAAAAAUCUACAUGGGCCUGGACUUUUUUUCUUUAGGAAAAAAAAUCACCAUUAUCUGGCCAGGCGCGAUGGCUAGUGCCUGCAGUCCCAACACUUUGGGAGGCCGAAGCGGGCAGAUCGCUUGAGCUCAGAAGUUCAAGACCAGUCUGGACAAUAUGGCAAAACCCGGUAUCUACAAAAAUAAAAAUAAAUAAAAAUAAAAAUUAGCCAAGCAUAGUGGCACUGUGCCUGUAGUUCCAACUACUUGGGGGGCUGAGGUGGGAGGAUCACCUGAGCUUGGGAGGUUGAGGUGGUGGUGAACAGUGAUUGUGCCACUGUACUCCAUCCAGGCGACAGAGUAAGACCCUGUCUGAAAUUAAAAAAAAAAACAAAAACAAAACUGGCCGGACACGGUGACUCACACCUGUAAUCCCAGCACUUGAGCUCAGGAGUUGGAGACCAGCCUGGUGAAAUUAUGUCUC
rnacentral:lncRNA from 10 species